rnacentral:tRNA from 1 species
GGGCGAAUAGCUCAGCUGGGAGAGCACCUGCCUUACAAGCAGGGGGUCACAGGUUCAAGGCCUGUUUCGCCCACCA